UGGGGAAUUUUGGACAAUGGGCGAAAGCCUGAUCCAGCAAUGCCGCGUGUGUGAAGAAGGCCUUCGGGUUGUAAAGCACUUUUGUCCGGAAAGAAAUCCUUGGCUCUAAUACAGUCGGGGGAUGACGGUACCGGAAGAAUAAGCACCGGCUAACUAUGUGCCAGCAGCCGCGGUAAUACGUAGGGUGCAAGCGUUAAUCGGAAUUACUGGGCGUAAAGCGUGCGCAGGCGGUUUGCUAAGACCGAUGUGAAAUCCCCGGGCUCAACCUGGGAACUGCAUUGGUGACUGGCAGGCUAGAGUAUGGCAGAGGGGGGUAGAAUUCCACGUGUAGCAGUGAAAUGCGUAGAGAUGUGGAGGAAUACCGAUGGCGAAGGCAGCCCCCUGGGCCAAUACUGACGCUCAUGCACGAAAGCGUGGGGAGCAAACAGGAUUAGAUACCCUGGUAGUCCACGCCCUAAACGAUGGUCAACUAGUUGUUGGGGAUUCAUUUCCUUAGUAACGUAGCUAACGCGUGAAGUUGACCGCCUGGGGAGUACGGUCGCAAGAUUAAAACUUAAAGGAAUUGACGGGGUCAUAGCUGUUUCCU
rnacentral:rRNA from 1 species